CAUAGGUUAAUGAGGCGAACCGGGGGAACUGAAACAUCUAAGUACCCCGAGGAAAAGAAAUCAACCGAGAUUCCCCCAGUAGCGGCGAGCGAACGGGGAGGAGCCCAGAGCCUGAAUCAGUGUGUGUGUUAGUGGAAGCGUCUGGAAAGGCGCGCGAUACAGGGUGACAGCCCCGUACACAAAAAUGCACAUGCUGUGAGCUCGAUGAGUAGGGCGGGACACGUGGUAUCCUGUCUGAAUAUGGGGGGACCAUCCUCCAAGGCUAAAUACUCCUGACUGACCGAUAGUGAACCAGUACCGUGAGGGAAAGGCGAAAAGAACCCCGGCGAGGGGAGUGAAAAAGAACCUGAAACCGUGUACGUACAAGCAGUGGGAGCCUCUUUAUGGGGUGACUGCGUACCUUUUGUAUAAUGGGUCAGCGACUUAUAUUCUGUAGCAAGGUUAACCGAAUAGGGGAGCCGAAGGGAAACCGAGUCUUAACUGGGCGUUAAGUUGCAGGGUAUAGACCCGAAACCCGGUGAUCUAGCCAUGGGCAGGUUGAAGGUUGGGUAACACUAACUGGAGGACCGAACCGACUAAUGUUGAAAAAUUAGCGGAUGACUUGUGGCUGGGGGUGAAAGGCCAAUCAAACCGGGAGAUAGCUGGUUCUCCCCGAAAGCUAUUUAGGUAGCGCCUCGUGAAUUCAUCUCCGGGGGUAGAGCACUGUUUCGGCAAGGGGGUCAUCCCGACUUACCAACCCGAUGCAAACUGCGAAUACCGGAGAAUGUUAUCACGGGAGACACACGGCGGGUGCUAACGUCCGUCGUGAAGAGGGAAACAACCCAGACCG
rnacentral:rRNA from 1 species